rnacentral:rRNA from 1 species
UCCAGAGUUUGAUCAUGGCUCAGGACCGAACGCUGGCGGCGUGCCUAAUACAUGCAAGUCGAGCGGACCGACGGGAGCUUGCUCCCUUAGGUCAGCGGCGGACGGGUGAGUAACACGUGGGUAACCUGCCUGUAAGACUGGGAUAACUCCGGGAAACCGGGGCUAAUACCGGAUGCUUGAUUGAACCGCAUGGUUCAAUCAUAAAAGGUGGCUUUCAGCUACCACUUGCAGAUGGACCCGCGGCGCAUUAGCUAGUUGGUGAGGUAACGGCUCACCAAGGCGACGAUGCGUAGCCGACCUGAGAGGGUGAUCGGCCACACUGGGACUGAGACACGGCCCAGACUCCUACGGGAGGCAGCAGUAGGGAAUCUUCCGCAAUGGACGAAAGUCUGACGGAGCAACGCCGCGUGAGUGAUGAAGGUUUUCGGAUCGUAAAACUCUGUUGUUAGGGAAGAACAAGUACCGUUCGAAUAGGGCGGUACCUUGACGGUACCUAACCAGAAAGCCACGGCUAACUACGUGCCAGCAGCCGCGGUAAUACGUAGGUGGCAAGCGUUGUCCGGAAUUAUUGGGCGUAAAGCGCGCGCAGGCGGUUUCUUAAGUCUGAUGUGAAAGCCCCCGGCUCAACCGGGGAGGGUCAUUGGAAACUGGGGAACUUGAGUGCAGAAGAGGAGAGUGGAAUUCCACGUGUAGCGGUGAAAUGCGUAGAGAUGUGGAGGAACACCAGUGGCGAAGGCGACUCUCUGGUCUGUAACUGACGCUGAGGCGCGAAAGCGUGGGGAGCGAACAGGAUUAGAUACCCUGGUAGUCCACGCCGUAAACGAUGAGUGCUAAGUGUUAGAGGGUUUCCGCCCUUUAGUGCUGCAGCAAACGCAUUAAGCACUCCGCCUGGGGAGUACGGUCGCAAGACUGAAACUCAAAGGAAUUGACGGGGGCCCGCACAAGCGGUGGAGCAUGUGGUUUAAUUCGAAGCAACGCGAAGAACCUUACCAGGUCUUGACAUCCUCUGACAACCCUAGAGAUAGGGCUUCCCCUUCGGGGGCAGAGUGACAGGUGGUGCAUGGUUGUCGUCAGCUCGUGUCGUGAGAUGUUGGGUUAAGUCCCGCAACGAGCGCAACCCUUGAUCUUAGUUGCCAGCAUUCAGUUGGGCACUCUAAGGUGACUGCCGGUGACAAACCGGAGGAAGGUGGGGAUGACGUCAAAUCAUCAUGCCCCUUAUGACCUGGGCUACACACGUGCUACAAUGGGCAGAACAAAGGGCAGCGAAGCCGCGAGGCUAAGCCAAUCCCACAAAUCUGUUCUCAGUUCGGAUCGCAGUCUGCAACUCGACUGCGUGAAGCUGGAAUCGCUAGUA